rnacentral:rRNA from 1 species
UACGUAGGGUGCAAGCGUUGUCCGGAAUCAUUGGGCGUAAAGCGCGCGUAGGUGGCUUCGUAAGUCCGUUGUGAAAGUCAAAGGCUCAACCUUUGAAUGCCGAUGGAUACUGCGAAAGCUAGAGUACGGAAGAGGCGAGUGGAAUUCCUGGUGUAGCGGUGGAAUGCGCAGAUAUCAGGAGGAACACCAAUAGCGAAGGCAGCUCGCUGGGACGUUACUGACACUAAGGCGCGAAAGCGUGGGAGCGAACAGG